AGCGAACGCUGGCGGCAGGCCUAACACAUGCAAGUCGAACGGAUCCUUCGGGAUUAGUGGCGGACGGGUGAGUAGCGCGUGGGAACGGGCCAUUUGGUUCGGAACAAGUCAGGGAAACUUGAGCUAAUAUCGGAUGGGCUCUUCGGUGGAAAGAUUUAUCGCCAUUGGAGCGGCCGGCGUCUGAUUAGCUUGUUGGUGAGGUAAGGGACCAUCAAGGCGACGAUCAGUAGCUGGGCUGAGAGGAUGAUCCGCCACACUGGGACUGAGACGCGGCCCGGACUCCUACGGGAGGCAGCAGUGGGGGAUCUUGCGCAAUGGGCGGAAGCCUGACGCAGCCAUGCCGCGUGAAUGAUGAAGGUCUUAGGAGUGUAGAAUUCCUUCAGCGGGGACGAUAAUGACGGUACCCGCAGAAGAAGCUCCGGCUAACUUCGUG
rnacentral:rRNA from 1 species